rnacentral:rRNA from 1 species
UUUGGAUACAUCCAAUCUAAGCUAAGCUAAGCAAGGUCAGAUCUGGUUAGUACUUGGAUGAAAGACCACCAUGGAAUAUUAGAGGCCUCCAGAU